ensembl:snoRNA
UCCCUUUUCCAGUACAUAAGCCUGAUGGCUGGGUGUUAACACGCAUAUGUGAUAUGUGCCUCCCUUAAAUCUUAUUACACAUUUGGCACAUUACCCAUCUGAUG